AUAUCGCAGCUUCUGACGAGGCCAUCAGAGCCCGUAUGAGAAUUUGGGAAAGGCAUUUGAAGUCCUGUUUAUUUGAAUCAAGCAUAAACACACUGUGCACAUGUCUGGCUGCUGGUGGGGCAGGGAGGAGGCUGGGGAGCAGAUCCUUCUGCGGUGGAUUUCAAAUGGAGAUCAGCUGGCCCGAGUGAUCGAUUACCCCGGAUGAAAAGACUCAGAGCUGUGGACUCGUAGCAGGAAGAGCCCUUAGAAACAGGGAACUGCUCUUUUUACAGUUAGGGAUACUGAAGACCAGAGAGGUGCUUGCUUGCCCAAAGUCGCGCAGCUUAGCUUGAAAGUAAAUUAUGGAAGAAUUCUGGUGGGCUUUGGGGUCAGACAGCGUUGAGUUCAAGUCCUGGAUCUAUCACUAUAUUCCUUGGAUGGCCAAUGGACAGUGUCAAGCUGGAAACCCAGUAGGAUUUCUAAUUUGUCAACAGAACCCAGCACAGCCCAGAGGGAAGAGGGUUUUAAAUGGAAAGAAAGAACGCAGCAGAACUGAAGGACAAGAGGAUGUUGCUCUGCCCGUUUGCAGCAGAACAAACUAAACUUUGGGCUUUAUUUCAGGAAUGCUGGGGAAUUACCAUCUCUCAGGGUGGGAGAGGGUUGUAGAGUCUGCUCUGUCUACUCGUGUCCUGUGAUGGCUGAAUGUCCACCAAAUGACUACCAAACCUCUGUCCCAGUGGCUCGAGGGUCAGGCAGCCACUGCCUCUGGAGGCAGCUUCUAAGAACAGCCAUUCACUCGAUCAACAAACGUUAAUCAAAUGCCAAAUAGCAACAGAGCACCUGCCAGGCGAGGGACGAGGUGCUGGAGCAGUGAGACAACUGAAAUCGACUUGGUCCCUGUGCUUGUGGCACCAAGAGUCUAGUGGGGGUUAUAGACACUAAGUAAUUAAAUGCUUGGGUGAAAUAAUUAUAACUUACAAUGACUGUUAUGGGUUGAAUUGUUUU
rnacentral:lncRNA from 1 species